GACAGAGGCCUCAAGCGUUAGGCGGAAUCACUGGGCUUAAAGCGUGUGUAGGCGGAUCGUUAAGUACCUUGUGAAAUCCCACGGCUCACCCGUGGAACUGCUGGGUAUACUGGCGGUCUUGGGCCAACUAGGGGCAGCUGGAACAAGCGGUGGAGCGGUGAAAUGCGUAGAUAUGACAUAGAACACCGAUUGCGAAGGCAGCUCGCUACGCCUAUAUUGACUCUGAGGCACGAAAGCGUGGGGAUCAAACAGG
rnacentral:rRNA from 1 species